rnacentral:piRNA from 1 species
UGCAGUUUAGGAAACACUAGGGCCCUCUC